CGAGAGCACCCGCGGCAGCCUGGGAAGCAGCGGGCCGGGAUCGACGGCGUCGGAAACUGACCCCUCCACAGCCCGUGGGUCAGAGCGCUGAUGUGUACGGCGGGGAUUGACCCUCGCCGCGCGCCGUACUUCUUCCGGAAGGCCUUCCCGAAACGAGCGGACGAAUCUACAUGACCUGGUCUCUGCCUACCACGCUUCCAGCGCCUGUCUCACUGUUCCAGCCAUGCUGGCUUUCUGUCAGAGGCCUGAGACACAAAGCUGUGCAAUUCGCCAUUCGAAAUCAAGGAGAAACUAAAGACCCUCUUGAUGAGGGUGAAAGAGGAAAGUGAAAAAGCUGGCUUAAAACAUUAAAAAAACGAAGAUCAUGGCAUCCGGUCCCAUUAUUUCAUGGCAAACAGAUGGAGAAAAAGUGGAAACAGUGUCAGAUUUUAUUUUCUUGGGCUCCAAAGUCAAUGCAGAUAGUGACUACAGUCAUGAAAUUAAAAGACGAUUGCUCUUUGGAAGAAUAGCUAUGAAAAACCUAGACAGUGUAUUGAAAAGUGGAGACAUCACUUUGCCAAAAAGGGUCCAUCUAGUCAAAGCUAUGGUUUUUCCAAUAGUCAUGUAGUGGAUGUGAGAGUUGGACCAUGAUGAAGGCUGAGUGCUGAAGAACUGAUGCUUUUGAAUGUGAUGCUGGAAAAGACUGUUGAGAGUCCCUUGGACUGCAAGAUCAAACUAGUCAAUCCUAAAGGAAAUCAACCCUGAAUAUUCAUUGGAAGGACUGAUGCUGAAGCUCCAGUACUUUGGCCCAUUGAUGGGAAGAGCUGACUCACUGGAAAAGACUCUGAUGCUGGGAAAAAUUGAGGGUAGAAGGACAACAGAGGAUGAGAUGGUUAGAUAGCAUCAUGGACUUGAUGGACAUGUGUUUGAGCAAAUUCCAGGAGAUAGUGAAGGACAGGGAAGCCUGGCAUGCUGCAGUUCAUGGGGUCACAGAGAGUCAGACAUGACUUAGUGAACAACAUGAACAAUAACAACCUUGCUUCAUUACAGUUCUCCCUCCCCUCUCUGUUGAGCUACUGUUAUCAUAGAUAGUAUGUUUGUUAUAAAUGUAAGACAUUUUUUAUUAUUGUUUUGUGCAAUUGUCUUUUAAUUAAAAGUACCUUCACCAGUUAUUUUUUACUUCUUCAUGUAGACUUAUUGUGCAGUUCAUUUCAGCCUGAAGAACUUUAAGAAAGCUUUUGAUUUUUCACAAGACAGAUCUACUUGCAUCAAAUUAUCUGCCUUUAGUUGGGGAUAUCUUUAUUAUACCUUCAUUUUUGAAAGACAGGAAUGCUGGAUAUAGAAUUCUUUCCUAUUCAGACUAUUGAAUAUGUCAUCCCACUGCCUUCUGUAUUGUUUCCAGUGAGAAGUCAGCUGUUAAUCUAUUAUGAGCUUAUUGUACAUCGUGAGUCAUUUUUCUCUAAAGGCUUUCACAAUUUUAUCUUUGGCUUUUAAGUUUGGCUACAGUGUGUCUAAGUCUGGGUUUCUUUGAGUUUAUCCUACUUGAAGCUUGUCGAGUUUUAUGGAUGUGUAGGUUAAUGUUUUUCAGCAAAUUUGGGAAGGCUUUGGAUAUUAUUUCUGCAACUAACUUUUCUGCCCCUUUUUCUCACUUGUCCUUUGGGGACUCCCAUUAUGUGUAUGUUGGUGUGUAUUUGGUCACCAUACACCUAAUAGUGUCUCUCAGAUCUCUGCAGCUUGCUUUGCUUUCUUGUUUUUUUCUGUUAUUCAGAUUGGGUAACUUCUAGUGACCUAUCUUCAGGCUCACUGACUUUUUCUUCUGCCAUCCCAAAUCUGCUGUUGAGAGGCUCUAGUGAAUUCAUUUCAACUUAUGUACUUUUCAAUUCCAGAAUUUCCAUUUACUUUUUUACUGUCUUGCUAUUGAGAAUCACUAUUUUUUGUUGUUAUCUCUCUGCAUGACUGCUCAGUCAUGCUCAGUCUGACUCUUUGUGACCCUGGACUGUAGCCCCUCAGGCCCCUUUGUCCAUGGGGUUUUCCUGGCAAGAAUACUGGAGUGGGUUGCCAUUUCCUUCUCCAGGGGAUCUUCCUGACCCAGGGAUCAAACCCGCAUCUCUUGUGUCUCUUGCAUUGGCAGGCAGAUUCUUUCCCACUGAGUCACCUGGGAAGCCCUCAUUUGUUGUCAUAUGUUCCUAUAAUUCCUUAGACAUGGUUUACUUUGGUUCCUUGACCGUAUUUAUAAUAGCUAUAUUGAAUGCUAUUUAUUAAAUCCAUUGUCUGAAGACCCAGUUUCUAUUUACUGCUUUUUCCCUUAGUAUGGAUUGUUCCUGUUUCUCUGCAUGUCUGUUUUUUUUU